rnacentral:rRNA from 1 species
AUGGAGCUGCAAAAUGUCAUCCUGCUCCUCUUGCUGACAAUCAACCUUGCUAUCGCCCAAAACACUUCUAGAGAAGAAGCACAGGAACUCCAUGUUGGGGUUAUCCUUGACUUGGGGUCCAUUGUUGGCAAAAUGGCACGGACCAGCGUUUCACUGGCUAUGGAGGACUUCUAUGCUGUUCAUCGGAACUAUAGCACCAAGCUUGUCCUCCACAUCAGAGAUUCCAUGAGUGAUGAUGUCCAAGCUGCAUCUCAAGCUAUUGACCUGCUAGAGAAUUACAAUGUAGAAGUCAUCAUUGGUCCUCAGAAAUCUUCGCAAGCUAUAUUUAUCUCAAAACUUGGAAAUAAAAGUCAUGCCCCAGUCAUAUCCUUCACGGCAACAAGCCCAUCUCUAUCAUCUAAAACUCUUCCAUAUUUUGUGCGAGCAACAAUAAAUGACUCGGCACAGGUAAAUUGCAUUGCCUCCAUAAUUAAAACCUAUGGGUGGAGAGAGGUGGUACCUAUCUAUGAAGACACUGACUAUGGUAGAGGUAUCGUACCAUACCUUGUUGAUGUGCUACAAGAAGUUGAUGCCCGUGUUCCCUACCAAAGUGUGAUCCCUUUGUCAGCAACUAGUGAACAAAUUACUCUAGAACUCUAUAAGCUGAUGACAAUGCAAACGACAGUCUUUGUUGUACAUAUGUCAUUUACCUUGGCCUCCCUCUUCUUCAUAAAGGCAAGAGAAGUAGGGAUGAUGAACAAAGGAUAUGCAUGGAUCAUGACAGAUGGAGUAACCAAUCUAAUAGAUUCACUGAAUCCUUCUAUCCUAGAAUCGUUGAAUGGUGCCAUAGGUGUUGAGUUUUAUGUUCCCAAAACCAAGGAACUUGAUGACUUCGCCAUGAGAUGGAAUAUGAGGUUCCAGAUUGACAACCCAACUGAUCCACCAUUGAAAUUAAACAUCUUUGGACUAUGGGGCUAUGAUACAAUCUGGGCAGUAGCACAUGCCGCAGCAAAAGUUGGACUUGCAAAUGCCACAUUUCAGAAACCAGGUGCCACAAGAAAUUCAAUAAGUUUGGAAACCUUGGAAACAUCUAGUAAUGGUCCAAAACUGUUGCAAGCAAUCCUGCAGAAUAAAUUUAGAGGCCUCGGUGGCAAUAUUGACCUUUCAAAUAGGCAGCUGCAAAUUUCAACAUUUCGGAUAAUAAAUGUAGUAGGGAAAGGAUGGAGAGAUAUUGGAUUCUGGACUGCACAAAAUGAACUCUCGCAGCACUUAAAUAAAACCAGACAUACAACAACACAUCUAAAUCCAGUUAUCUGGCCAGGAGAGUCCAUAGAAAUACCCCGAGGUUUUAAGAUUCCUGUAAGCGGGAAGAAACUUCAAGUUGGUGUGUGCACAAGUGGAUAUCCGGAAUUUGUGAAGGUCGAAAAGGAUCAUAUCACAGGUGCAACUAAAGCAAUCGGUUUUUCAGUGGAUGUAUUUGAAGAGGCAGUUAAGAGACUUCCUUAUGCAGUCCCUUAUGAAUAUGUCCUAUUUAGUACCAAGGAUGAUGGAAGUGCCGAAGAUUACAAUGAUUUUGUCUACCAAGUUUAUCUUGAGGAGGAUUGUACCAAACCCCUUCUUUUCAAUGCAAUGAAACGCAAAAGUCUUUUGCGUUUUCUCAAAAAAAGAACAUUCUAUGCUGACUUCACUCUGCCAUACACAGAAUCAGGAAUAGCAAUGGUUGUUCCAGUCAGGGAUAGCAUAAACAAGAAUACAUGGAUUUUCUUGAAGCCGCUAGAACCUGGAAUGUGGUUUGGAAGCAUUGUAUUCUUCAUCUACACUGGUGUGGUCGUAUUAAUAUUGGAGUUUCUAGGCAAUAACGAGAAUGUCCGUGGUCCAAUUCCAAGACAGUUGGGGAUUAUGAUCUUUUUCUCCAUAUUUGAAGAGAAGGAGCUUGUGCAACGCUUUCUGUCCCGGAUAGUUUUGAUCAUUUGGUUGGUUUUCCUGAUGGUACUUACAUCAAGUUACACUGCAAGCUUGACAUCAAUGCUAACAGUACAGCAGCUUCAGCCAACUGUAACAGAUGUGCGCGAACUCCUAAAAAGUGGAGAAUAUGUAGGAUACCACCGUGGCUCCUACGUCAAGGGACUUUUGGAAGAACUUGGUUUUGACAGGUCGAAGAUCAAGCCCUAUAAUUCCCCUGAAGAUUUUCACAACGCACUUUCAAGAGGAAGCAACAAUGGUGGUAUUGCUGCACUUGUGCAUGAGGUUCCAUACAUUAAACUGUUUCUGGCAAAUCACUGCAAAGGGUACACUAUGGUGGGACCAAUUUAUAAGGCUGCAGGUUUUGGAUAUGCAUUAUCAAAGGGAAAUCCCUUGAUUGGAGACAUCUCCAAGGCAAUCCUCAACGUAACUGGGGGUGAUACUAUGAUUCAAAUUGAGAAGAAAUGGAUUGGAGAUCGAAACAAUUGCCAGAACUUGGGCCCAGUAACUGGUUCAAGCAGACUCACAUUUGCCAACUUCAGGGGAUUAUUUAUCCUUACUGGAGUUGCUUCAACUUCUUCCCUUUUGAUAGCAUUGAUAAUUUAUUUCUACAAAAAGAAGCAAUCAAUAAAUACUGUGUUAGACAAUGGGAAUCGACCAGAAGAAAGUGGAAUAAAUGAGGAAAAUAGUGAGGCCCGAGAAGGAAAUCAAGGAGGAGAUGAACAAAAUACAAAGCAAGCGGGCCAGGAGGAAAGUGGGCUAGAAGAACAGACCAGUUUAGAAGUGGUACCUGAGGCAACUGACAGACAAGCAUUGUUAUGCCCAACAAUGGAUCAACUGCCGUUUUCAGGGGUAAAGUAG